UACAGAGGGUGCUAGCGUUGUUCGGAAUCAUUGGGCGUAAAGGGCGUGUAGGUGGUUUGUUAAGUCAUGUGUGAAAUCCCCCGGCUUAACCGGGGUGGUGGCAUUGAUACUGCAGGGCUUGAGUACAGAUGAGGUAGGCGGAAUUGACGGUGUAGCGGUGAAAUGCAUAGAUAUCGGGAGGAACACCGGUGGCGAAGGCGGCAUCCUGGACCGGUAUUGACGCUGAGGCGCGAAAGCUAGGGGAGCAAACGGG
rnacentral:rRNA from 1 species